rnacentral:rRNA from 1 species
ACGCUGGCGGCAGGCUUAACACAUGCAAGUCGAACGCCCCCCUCGGGGGGAGUGGCAGACGGGUGAGUAACGCGUGGGAACGUGCCCUUCAGUUCGGAAUAACCCAGGGAAACUUGGGCUAAUACCGGAUACGUGCGAGAGCAGAAAGAUUUAUCGCUGAAGGAUCGGCCCGCGUCUGAUUAGCUAGUUGGUAGGGUAAUGGCCUACCAAGGCGACGAUCAGUAGCUGGUCUGAGAGGAUGAUCAGCCACAUUGGGACUGAGACACGGCCCAAACUCCUACGGGAGGCAGCAGUGGGGAAUAUUGGACAAUGGGCGCAAGCCUGAUCCAGCCAUGCCGCGUGAGUGAUGACGGCCUUAGGGUUGUAAAGCUCUUUCGGCGGGGACGAUAAUGACGGUACCCGCAGAAGAAGCCCCGGCUAACUUCGUGCCAGCAGCCGCGGUAAUACGAAGGGGGCUAGCGUUGUUCGGAAUCACUGGGCGUAAAGGGCGCGUAGGCGGCUUUGUAAGUCGGGGGUGAAAGCCUGUGGCUCAACCACAGAAUUGCCUUCGAUACUGCAGGGCUUGAGACCGGAAGAGGUUAGUGGAACUGCGAGUGUAGAGGUGAAAUUCGUAGAUAUUCGCAAGAACACCAGUGGCGAAGGCGGCUGACUGGUCCGGUUCUGACGCUGAGGCGCGAAAGCGUGGGGAGCAAACAGGAUUAGAUACCCUGGUAGUCCACGCCGUAAACGAUGAAUGCCAGCCGUUGGGCAGCUUGCUGCUCAGUGGCGCAGCUAACGCUUAAGCAUCCGC